CAGCAGCCGCGGUAAUACGUAGGGCGCAAGCGUUGUCCGGAAUUAUUGGGCGUAAAGAGCUCGUAGGCGGCUUGUCACGUCGGAUGUGAAAGCCCGGGGCUUAACCCCGGGUCUGCAUUCGAUACGGGCUAGCUAGAGUGUGGUAGGGGAGAUCGGAAUUCCUGGUGUAGCGGUGAAAUGCGCAGAUAUCAGGAGGAACACCGGUGGCGAAGGCGGAUCUCUGGGCCAUUACUGACGCUGAGGAGCGAAAGCGUGGGGAGCGAACAGGAUUAGAUACCCUGGUAGUCCACGCCGUAAACGUUGGGAACUAGGUGUUGGCGACAUUCCACGUCGUCGGUGCCGCAGCUAACGCAUUAAGUUCCCCGCCUGGGGAGUACGGCCGCAAGGCUAAAACUCAAAGGAAUUGACGGGGGCCCGCACAAGCAGCGGAGCAUGUGGCUUAAUUCGACGCAACGCGAAGAACCUUACCAAGGCUUGACAUAUACCGG
rnacentral:rRNA from 1 species